GCGGGCCGUAGCGCAGAGGUCGUCGCGCCCGACCUUAAUUGGGAGGACGCCAGUUCGAUUCCGGUCGGUCCGCU
rnacentral:tRNA from 1 species